GAGCUCCACAAAAGCAUCACGCCUUCGCCAACCUUAUCUACAACAUCCAUCCUCUCCUAUCCUCUUCAUCGCUUCUCCCUUCGUCGCCUCCUACAGCAUCAGUAACCUGCCUCCGCAAGAUCGCCGUCGCCACCUUGUUCUCUUCACCGCUACACGCGCAGGUCCUAAUAUCUUCGACUAAUCCGCAGGCAUUGCUGCUCCGUUGUGCAGUGCUGGUGCCGUCAUCAAUCGCACACGGAUCAAGGUGGACUGCUGCUGCCGGUUGCGACAGGAGAGAAGAAAAAAUCUGCCCUCUGCUGCUAUAUGUGGAGCAAAUUUGUGAAUUCCACUACGACGGUGAGCAGUUUUUAGUGAUCAAGAUAAGAGCUUUAGCAACAAGUAAAGACUAGCAGAACCAAAAGGAUAAGCAAGAGCAUUUGGAGUAAGGCAAGUAUAGCAUUUGGA